rfam:Myotis brandtii contig191869, whole genome shotgun sequence.
GGCGGUUCUCAGGUGACACACCCAGGAAUUGGGCUCCCUCCUCUCUGGUUCCCGGUGGGUGCGUCACCUGAUAACCACA